UACGAAGGGGGCUAGCGUUGUUCGGAAUUACUGGGCGUAAAGGGCGCGUAGGCGGUCCUUCAAGUCAGGCGUGAAAGCCCCGGGCUCAACCUGGGAACCGCGCUUGAGACUGAUGGGCUAGAGUUCGGGAGAGGAUGGUGGAAUUCCCAGUGUAGAGGUGAAAUUCGUAGAUAUUGGGAAGAACACCGAUGGCGAAGGCAGCCAUCUGGACCGACACUGACGCUGAGGCGCGAAAGCGUGGGGAGCAAACAGG
rnacentral:rRNA from 1 species